rnacentral:rRNA from 1 species
CGAUACGGGACUCAUCCGAGGCCCCGUAAUCGGAAUGAGUACACUUUAAAUCCUUUAACAAGGAUCCAUUGGAGGGCAAGUCUGGUGCCAGCAGCCGCGGUAAUUCCAGCUCCAAUAGCGUAUAUUAAAGUUGUUGCGGUUAAAAAGCUCGUAGUUGAAUCUGUGUUUCACACUGUCGGUUCACCGCUCGCGGUGUUUACUGGCAUGAUGUGGGACGUCCUACCGGUGGGCUUAGCCCUUCGGGGCGGUCCAACUAAUAUCCCAUCGCGGUGCUCUUCAUUGAGUGUCGAGAUGGGCCGGUACGUUUACUUUGAACAAAUUAGAGUGCUUAAAGCAGGCUAGCCUCGCCUGAAUACUGUGUGCAUGGAAUAAUGGAAUAGGACCUCGGUUCUAUUUUGUUGGUUUUCGGAACUCCGAGGUAAUGAUUAAUAGGGACAGAUGGGGGCAUUCGUAUUGCGACGUUAGAGGUGAAAUUCUUGGAUCGUCGCAAGACGGACAGAAGCGAAAGCAUUUGCCAAAAAUGUUUUCAUUAAUCAAGAACGAAAGUUAGAGGUUCGAAGGCGAUCAGAUACCGCCCUAGUUCUAACCAUAAACGAUGCCAGCUAGCGAUCCGCCGAAGUUCCUCCGAUGACUCGACGGGCAGCUUCCGGGAAACCAAAGCUUUUGGGUUCCGGGGGAAGUAUGGUUGCAAAGCUGAAACUUAAAGGAAUUGACGGAAGGGCACCACCAGGAGUG